GACGAACGCUGGCGGCGUGCUUAACACAUGCAAGUCGAGCGGUAAGGCCCUUUCGGGGGUACACGAGCGGCGAACGGGUGAGUAACACGUGGGUGACCUGCCCUCAGCUCUGGGAUAAGCCUGGGAAACUGGGUCUAAUACUGGAUAUGACUCCACGGUGCAUGUCGUGGGGUGGAAAGCCUUGUGCGGCUGAGGAUGGGCCCGCGGCCUAUCAGCUUGUCGGUGGGGUGAGGCCUACCAAGGCGACGACGGUAGCCGGCCUGAGAGGGCGACCGGCCACACUGGGACUGAGACACGGCCAGACUCCUACGGGAGGCAGCAGUGGGGAAUCUUGCGCAAGUGGGCGAAAGCCUGACGCAGCGACGCGCGUGAGGGAUGACGGCCUGG
rnacentral:rRNA from 1 species